GCACUGCUGAGUAGUCCCAUAAUAGGACGAAACGGGCCGUCCAGUGC
rnacentral:hammerhead_ribozyme from 1 species